AUUGAACGCUGGCGGCAUGCCUUACACAUGCAAGUCGAACGGUAGAGUAGCAAUACUCGAGAGUGGCGAACGGGUGAGGUAAUAUAUCGGAACGUGCCCAAUCGUGGGGGAUAACGUAGAGAAAUUUACGCUAAUACCGCAUACGAUCUAAGGAUGAAAGCGGGGGAUCGCAAGACCUCGCGCGACUGGAGCGGCUGAUA
rnacentral:rRNA from 1 species